GUGGGGAAAAAAAUAAUGCUGCGUGUAGAAAUCUCUAAGCUUUCAUCCAUUUCUAGGAAACUGGAAUGGGAGGAGCAUUCCUCCUACUCCUGAAGACAUCUGCAGUGUGGGGAUAUAGGGAAACUACUGCAGUACAAGCAUGACUUUGGCAAAUUAAAGUUUGUCAGAAUCUCAGCAAACUUUCCACUGAUCUGGGUUCACUUAUGCUUUUGUUACAGUUCUGGGCUUCUUUCUGAUGUUUCCCUUUGGACGUGUACUUUAAAACUAUUUCAUGAACUUGAGAUGCUUGAUUGUCCGCACAGUCUCAAGAGUAAGCAAGAUAUUUCUUUCUAUGGUCGUCUUCUUCCUCCUCCUCCUGCCUCGUUUUCAACUCAGCAUCUGGCAAAGAUGGACAAACUCUGGGACGUAAAAAUUCCCUUAACUGAAAAUUCCUGGGGAGCUCUCAGUCCUCAGCUGGUAUGAAUGACACUAGUCCCACACUUCUGAGCUACAGUUCAAGGAGGCCUGCAGGAGACAGAGAAGUUCCACUGCAUCUGGCAAUACAACCUGCAUCCUCAAAUCUGCCUUCAAAGCUGUAAAUGCUAGGAACAAACUUUUAUCCAUGUAUCUGUCCUGUUGUUACAGUCAUCCGUGGUGGUUUACCUAAGGACAUGGAAGCUAGCUUCUGGCAACACAGAUCCCUGCUGACAAAGGAGGCAUGUUCCAUCUCCCAGGUACCCAAAGCUGCUCUAGUAGAAGACGUCAGAAUCCAAAAUCUUCUGAUUCCUGACAAGUACCUCCUUUUGGUUGAAGUUGGCAAAAUGAAAGCAAAGGCUGGUCAGCACAUUUUCCAUCAUAAUCUAAGACUACGCAGAUGGAUCACAAAGAACUUCAGCAGUCAACACUACAUGCUUUAACGCGGACUAAAGCAAACUCAAGAUAAGCUUCAUCAAUAGCUAGAAGUGAACUUAAAAACAAAAAUGUUCAAAGCCAUUACGAAAUGAAAGCUACCUGUGAGGUACUGUGACACUAGAAGCUCCCAGGCUGAAUGAAAUAUGAAACUUGCUGGAAGAGUACAACACAGGUAGGAGUCAAAAAGCUUUUCACCUAAUUUUGUCUCUUACACACUGGAAUGACUCCAGUGUAACUUUUAUACUUCUUGUGCCUUUGUUUCCACAUCUGUAAUUCAGGUUACAUGCACCUUGCAACAGUUAUCCCACAAGGAUACAGAAAAGCUGAGAUGUUUUUUGAGAUCCAAGGGGAGGUUCAAGAAUUACAAUUAUAAAAAGCACAAGCACUUAGCGCUAACACCUCCAAACAGUAUCUCAAGUACAGGAAGGAUGGCCCCCAGACACAAGCCCUCAGAGCUGGACCUGAAGCAACAUGCUCUCAAGCUUCGUGAAGCCCGGAACCUCUCUCUGCUUCCAGCAGUGUGCAAAGACACCCUGCAGUACUAGGCUAUUAAUCAAUGCCUAAAGGCAAAACAAAAAGCUGUGUUCAGACUUCACACAGCUGCAACUUCUUCCACCUAAACCCCAGAGGUCCGAAAAUCUCUUUGAUUAGUAGGAACAAGUGUUCCACGAGUAACUAAUCCACAGAGGAGUAAGUGCGAGAGCAUCAAAGUGUCCAUAAACACUCAAAUUGCUCAGCACAGCUAGGCAUUCAGCCUUUAAAAAUGCAGCCUCACUGAGAAACUAUGCACCAUGAACAAACCAGUCACCAAGUACACCAAAGGCGAGGCAAAGAAACACAUCACUGAAACACUAUUUUGUGUUCCCACCAGUUUAACUCAUCUUCAUACAAAGACAGUAUGAAACAUAAGGUACUUUGGUUACCAUUAAAAAAGCAACACUUUAAUAUAAAACAUUAAGAAAUGGUGUCCUUAAGCUAGAUCAGGAGUCUCGUAUCCUUAAAGACUGUGUUAAGUGUGAAGCUGUCAGUAGCAUUAGUAUUCACUAACGACAAGAGGAAUUUUGUCCCAUUUAUAACAAGCUGUUAUGCUUUCCCUAUCUGUGAAAAGCCAGUGCAGUCAAGCCAUGGGAAAUAUAAGAAAAUU
ensembl:lncRNA